rnacentral:rRNA from 1 species
GACGAACGUUGGCGGCGUGCUUAAUACAUGCAAGUCAACUGAAGCAGUGGUAGCAAUAUCGCUGUGGAGGUGGCGCACGGGUGAGUAACACGUAGGCAAUCUGCCUUCAGGUCUGGCAUAACUCCGGGAAACCGGGGCUAAUAGCAGAUGAUGCAGCGGCUCGACAUCGAGACAGUUGUUAAAGCUAUGGCGCCUGAAGAUGAGCCUGCGUCUGAUUAGCUAGUUGGCGGGGUAACGGCCCACCAAGGCAACGAUCAGUAGCUGGUCUGAGAGGAUGAUCAGCCACACUGGAACUGAGACACGGUCCAGACUCCUACGGGAGGCAGCAGUAAGGAAUAUUGCUCAAUGGGAGAAAUCCUGAAGCAGCAACGCCGCGUGAGGGACGAAGGGCUUUUGCUUGUAAACCUCUGUAGUGAGAGAAAAAAAUCCCAAUCUUUGGGACAUGAUGGUAUCUCAAAAGUAAGCCCCGGCUAACUACGUG